AGCGAACGCUGGCGGCAUGCUUAACACAUGCAAGUCGCACGGUUCGGGACUUCGGUUUCGGGCAGUGGCGGACGGGUGAGUAACGCGUAGGCAUCUAUCCUGGGGUGGGGGAUAACGGCGGGAAACUGCUGCUAAUACCGCAUGAAACCUGAGGGUCAAAGGCGUAAGUCGCCUUAGGAGGAGCCUGCGUCUGAUUAGCUUGUUGGUGGGGUAAAGGCCUACCAAGGCGAUGAUCGGUAGCUGGUCUGAGAGGAUGAUCAGCCACAUUGGGACUGAGACACGGCCCAAACUCCUACGGGAGGCAGCAGUGGGGAAUAUUGGACAAUGGGCGCAAGCCUGAUCCAGCAAUGCCGCGUGUGUGAAGAAGGUUUUCGGAUUGUAAAGCACUUUCGGCGGGGACGAUGAUGACGGUACCCGCAGAAGAAGCCCCGGCUAACUUCGUGCCAGCCGCCGCAGUAAUAC
rnacentral:rRNA from 1 species